rnacentral:rRNA from 1 species
UACGUAGGGCGCAAGCGUUGUCCGGAAUUAUUGGGCGUAAAGAGCUCGUAGGCGGUUUGUCGCGUCUGCUGUGAAAACCUAAGGCUCAACCUUGGGCUUGCAGUGGGUACGGGCAGACUAGAGUGUGGUAGGGGAGACUGGAAUUCCUGGUGUAGCGGUGAAAUGCGCAGAUAUCAGGGAGGAACACCGAUGGCGAAAGGCAGGUCUCUGGGC